AAGGAUGGGAGAGAGCACUUCGGUGACUCGUCGGACCCGCGGGGAGCUGGCGGGCGGGGUUGGAUUCUCGUACGAGAGGGAUAGGAUAGCCCCGCCCAUCACCUCCGGGUUUUUCCCUUCUCGUCCUUGUCUUCUUCCCCUGACGGUCCUUUGGCGGCUUCUCCCUUCUUUUUGAGUUCCACCGCCGCACCUUCUGUGGGCUUCUGCCUCUUAUUCUGCAAGGAAACUCGUGCC
rnacentral:lncRNA from 1 species